rnacentral:rRNA from 1 species
CCUACGGGAGGCAGCAGUGGGGAAUAUUGCGCAAUGGGCGAUAGCCUGACGCAGCGACGCCGCGUGAGGGAUGAAGGUCCUCGGAUCGGUAACCUCCUUCAGCAGGGAAGAACAGUCACUGAGCUAAACAGCAGUGAAUUGACGGUACCUGCAAAGGAAGCACCGGCUAACUCCGUGCCAGCAGCCGCGGUAAUACGGAGGGGGCGAGCGUUAAUCGGAAGUACUGGGCGUAAAGCGCUCGUAGGCGGUAUGUCAAGUCAAGGGUGAAAUCCCCGCGCUCAACGUGGGAACUGCCUUUGAAACUGGCAAACUGGAGUGUGUGAGAGGAUAGUGGAAUUCCAGGUGUAGGAGUGAAAUCCGUAGAUAUCUGGAGGAACAUCAGUGGCGAAGGCGACUAUCUGGCACAUAACUGACGCUGAGGAGCGAAAGCGUGGGUAGCAAACAGGAUUAGAUACCCCUGUAGUC